rnacentral:rRNA from 1 species
CGCGGUUAAACAAAUAAUACAAUUAUUUUUUUUUGGUUUAAAUAUUUAAUUAAUAAAAUUUAAAUUUUUAUUUUAUUGAAAUAUUGGGUGAAAUCCUAUUUUUUAUUUAAUAGAGUUUUUGUUUAUGAGGUUAAGAAAUCUAGGUAUUAAACUGGGAUUAGAUACCCCAUUAUUCUAGAUGUAGAAAAUUUAUACUUGGUUAAUAUUAGUUAUGUUCUUUAAAACCAAAAAAUUUGGCGGUUUUUUAUUCUAAUCAGGGGAAUCUGUCCUGUAAUCGAUAAUCCACGAUUAAUAAAACUUUUAUUAUGCUUGUAUAUCGUCGUUGUUAAUUAUUUUUUGAAAUAUAUAAUUGUAAUAUUUUAUUUUAUUGUAAAUCAGAUCAAGGUGCAGCUUAUUGAAGGAGAGAUGGAUUACAAUAAAUUUAUUUAAGGAUAAACUUUAUAAUUAAUGUUUUGAGUAUUGGAUUUGAAUGUAAUUUUAAUUGUUAAUUAAAAUGAAUAAAGCUCUAAAAUGUGU